AUGGGUCCCAGGCUCUUCAAUUGCCUGGCCCUUUGGCUCCUGGUGGCAGGUCCUGUGGACCCUAGAAUUGUCCAGACACCAAAGUAUCUGGUGACAGUCACAGGCAAUGAAAAGACCCUGACGUGUAAGCAGUAUCUAAACCACAAUGCUAUGUACUGGUAUAGACAGAGUGCUAAGAAGUCCUUAGAGCUCAUGUUUGCCUAUAGCUAUCAACGACUCGUUGAUAACCAGACUGUUCCGCAUCGCUUCCAAACUCACAAUCCAGAGAAAUCCCUCUUAGAACUUCAGAUCUCAGCCCUGGAGAACGAUGACUCGGCCACGUAUUUCUGUGCUAGCAGCCAAGACACAGCCUUGCAGAGCUCUUGGCCCCCUGUACACAAACCUCCUCAGUCUACUCAGGAAACUGUUGCUGCAGCAGGUCCUCCUAAGCCCCCAAGACUCAGUCAGUAG